rnacentral:rRNA from 1 species
AUCCUGGCUCAGGAUGAACGCUAGCUACAGGCUUAACACAUGCAAGUCGAGGGGAAACGAUAUUGGAAGCUUGCUUCUGAUAGGCGUCGACCGGCGCACGGGUGAGUAACGCGUAUACCAACCUGCCCAUCACUUGGGGAUAACCUUGCGAAAGUAAGACUAAUACCCAAUGACGUCUCUAGAAGACAUCUGAAAGAGAUUAAAGAUUUAUCGGUGAUGGAUGGGGAUGCGUCUGAUUAGCUUGUUGGCGGGGUAACGGCCCACCAAGGCGACGAUCAGUAGGGGUUCUGAGAGGAAGGUCCCCCACAUUGGAACUGAGACACGGUCCAAACUCCUACGGGAGGCAGCAGUGAGGAAUAUUGGUCAAUGGACGAGAGUCUGAACCAGCCAAGUAGCGUGCAGGAUGACGGCCCUAUGGGUUGUAAACUGCUUUUAUAAGGGAAUAAAGUGGGAGUCGUGACUCUUUUUGCAUGUACCUUAUGAAUAAGGACCGGCUAAUUCCGUG